AUCUACGGCCAUACCACCCUGAAUGCGCCCGAUCUCGUCUAAUCUUCGAAGCUUAAGCAAGGUCGGGCCUGGUUAGUACUUGGAUGGGAAAAUGCCAGGCGCUGUAGGCU
rnacentral:rRNA from 10 species